GAAGGCUGUGAGGAAGCCACAUGCUGUUUUUCAUCUCCCAGCAUUGUACCCUUACUCCUCCUCUUUAUAUUGAAGUAACACAGUGAAACAUGCUGUGUGUAUCUGGGGGAGGAGAGGAAAACAGAGAAGUUGCAACUAUGGGGAUGGAUUUGGAGCAAUCCAGAUUUCAUUUGCCCCCUUUCCACAAGAAGGUUAUGGAAGCUGUGCUCCUGACCCAUUUGUUCUUCCAUUACGCUGUAAUGUUUGGAAAAAUACACAGCAGGAUUUAUGGAAAGUGCUUCAAAGCCUAAUUUUCCUCUCCAAAUCUCCAGCAGGUAUCUCUCCGAGCUCCGCUUCACAUGAAUCUCUCUCUGUUGUGCUCAGGCCUUGGAAUCACCCAAGGUCACUACUGCAAAACACAGCGUGCCCUGAGGACCUCCCCAGCCUUUCUGCACAGGGUGAAAAAUGCCUUCAUUAUAAGGACUGAUCAUUAGUGGAUGUGAAGUUGAGAAGAUGAUGAAGAUGAGUUGUUGGGUCUGGCAGAGAAUUGACCCAUCAGUGUCAUUAAGUGAACUGCGGCAAGCCCAGCAAUUCCCAUGGGGCAAAUCAUUGAAUUCCUCAGGAGCAAAGGCAUCUUUCAAAGGAUAAGAGAAAUGAAGGAAGGAUACGGAAAAGGGAGAGUUAAAUCUUUGUCAUUUCACUUAAAUCUUCAUCAGGACUGGAACUGGGCUUUCUACAGCAGCACCGAAUAAACUACUGUAUGUUUGCUAUGCUGAACAUUCUCAAAGUGGAAUUCUCUUUUACUCCUGACCAUUCCUUCCAUAAAAUUAGCAUGCUGAGGGACAUAUUCAACACAUAGCUUGGGAGAGUGUUGAGAAUAUCAGGAAAGGGAGAGUGUGGAACAAUAAUAUGGUUGAGGUGUUAUGUUUUGUAGAAUGCCUAAAGGAAGGAAGGACACCUUAAUCUGGCCAAUGUCACUGCUCUUUCAUUGUCAGUCAAAACAGAGGCUCUUCCCAAUUGCUGCCUGUUGAAAAAACUUGUACACCCAAGCCUGUGGCUGCAAUCUGAG
ensembl:lncRNA